CUUCUUGGAUAAUUAAUAUAACAAUCCCAUAAGUCGAUGUACUGGUGCUCUGCAUUCUUAAGUAAGCAUAUAGGAUCCUAUGCAAUGAUAAGAACAAUGAUGCAGGCUUUCAGAAGAUUGGGAGCUUCUGUCAACAAAUUGUCCCAAGUCGUCUCUGAAGAGGUGCCAGGAACCUUGUCUUCUCUCAAGCUCUCUGCCCGUGAGAUUAAUGAACUCACUCGACAACUUGCCAAGCUCAGUUAACAGGAUUUUACAUUUUUGAAGGCAAAAGAUCUCCGCAACUGAUCAGAUUGAAAAUUGGAAACAAAGCCAAAAUCAAUAAAUAUCAUGGGCUAGCCCACUUCUUUUGGAAGCGGCUGCAACUGGCCUUGUGCAGAAUCCGUUGGAUUGCUUUGUCUUGUAUUUAUAUGUAUUACUUGGAUCUAACUUGUAAAUCGAACAUAUAGAACGUCAUAAAUACAAAAUAUAUGGGAAAAACUGUUGUUUUCUCUGUAGCGCCACAAAACGUGAUAAAUUAUGUAUGUCCAGCACCCAUUAUUUCAUAAUUAAGAUUCUAGCUCUCAUUCCUCUUCAGUUA